GGUUGUUGCAUGCGGUCGAUACCCUCAUUCGCUUGGACCAUUGGGGCUAUCGCAAGUACUGUCGCUGGUACAGUAUUAACUGAUUUUGGGGACGAAGGAGAAAUGGUUGUCGUAUUAGCGUAGAUCGGCACGGGAUCUCCAGAUGACUGCAAAUCUGUAGCUGCAUGAGGCAAUGAAACAACAUCACCGAUGGGUUUCAAUGGAACAGUAUUAAUCGAUUGUAACUCAGUGUUAACAAUUUUUGGGGGAAUAGUGUUGUUAGCAUAAAUGGGCAUCAGAACUUUCUUGGGUCGGCCUCUUCCUCUUGCCAUGACACCCUCAGUGUAGGUGAACCUACAUACACAGAGGAGCAAAGAAGAAGAUGAAGCGGUAAUAGCUAGAGAGAAGGCAGAGCUUCUCUCUCUAAACUCUUCACGAGACUGCAAAUCUGUAGCUGCAUGAGACAAUGAAACAACAUCACCGAUGGGUUUCAAUGGAACAGUAUUUUGUAGCUCAGUGUUAACAAUUUUUGGAGGAAUAGUGUUGUUAGCAUAAAUGGGCAUCAGAACUUUCUUGGGUCGUCCUCUUCCUCUUGCCAUGACACCCUCAGUGUAGGUGAACCUACAUACACAGAGGAGUAAAGAAGAAGAUGAAGUGGUAAUAGCUAGAGAGAAGGCAGAGCUUCUCUCUCUUAUUGACUCUUACUUAUCUUUU
rnacentral:lncRNA from 1 species